rnacentral:rRNA from 1 species
UACAGGGGGCCCGAGCGUUACGCGGAAUCACUGGGCUUAAAGGGUGCGUAGGCGGUUCGGAAAGCAUUACGUGAAAGCCCCCGGCUCAACCGGGGAACUGCGCGAUGUACUACCGAACUUGAGACAGGUAAGCGACGAGGGAACAGUGGGUGGAGCGGUGAAAUGCGUAGAGAUCCACUGGAACGCCGAUGGUGAAGAUGCUCGUCUGGGCCUGUUCUGACGCUGAGGCACGAAAGCGUGGGGAGCAAACAGG